rnacentral:rRNA from 1 species
GUCUACAGCCACGCCACCCUGAACAAGCCCGAUCCCGUCUGAUCUCGGAAGCUAAGCAGGGUCGGGCCUGGUUAGUACUUGGAUGAGAGACCACCUAGGAAGACCAGGUGCUGUAGGCG